GAGGAAGCCCGGUGCGAAUCCGGCGCGGUCCCGCCACUGUGAGCACGCGCACCCCGCGCGUGUGAGUCAGGAACUC
rnacentral:ncRNA from 2 species